UGGCUUUUCGAACUGUCUGGUGGCUAUUUUUGUUUUGUGCGUCAUUUAAACUUAAAUUAAUUCACAUAGUUUUACCUCGGCUGAUGUUUUAUCUUAGUUCAUUCUGAGGUUGGUUUGCUCUUUGACUAAUUGCGGUAUGCAUGCAGUAUCCAAAUAACUAGUUCUGAAGUACAUGUUUUCUGCAAUCUCCACUGCAUUCUUUUAAGAGUUAUCUUCAUGACCUUCGAGGCAUUCGGGUGUGUCCUUUUUCUGGAACCGCCUUUCUCAAUUUUGAACUUGACACGAACAAGGUGGCAUGACAGUCUACUACCAGUUUUAGUAUCAGUGAUGUUCUUUUUUUUGCAGUUUAUGCGCUCUCUCUAUUUAUUUAUUGAAGAUCCUUUUCCGCCAUGCAUAUUAAUUUAUUGCUGGGCGAACUUUGAUCUAAUAAAAGAGAAAGUGAACAAACUUGCACUCUGUGAGAUGUUAUCUUGAAGUGUUUACAUUGAAGAUAAACCUAGCCCAAGUCUAAGUGCGAGUCUUCUUGGUUCAAAGACAACUGCAUCACUUUGCUCUAUCUUAUUUGGCUUCAAGCAGCCUGUAACCAAGACCAACCGAGUGGUGCUAGGCACCAAAAGUGACCAUCUUCAACACCCUCACUUUUUCUUUUUUUUUCGCGAAAGACCGAAUAUCUCAUCACCUGUCAUAGCAGACAAAUAAAUCUGAAUCUAAUUAGUAUUUUGUAACUAAGCAUCUUCAAACAGGAACUUAUUUAAAUUCUACUUUAUCGGAGAUUUCUUAUUUUUUGUCUCAAAGAUACCAUAAAAAUCGAAAAUAUUGUUCACGCCUCCGGUAAUAAAUCGUGUCUGAGUAUCGCCGCUUUCGCUAUACUCUGUCAAAUAGAUCUCUGAAGCGUCAACUCGCUCGAUCAAGCCUAAGGCUAAACAAGGUCGUCUUGUCUCAGUAUUUGACCAACCCAAAUCAAGAAUCGCUUACAGAAUAUCGGUCUGUGACGAAUAGAAGACCUCGAAAGCGAGACAGCUUGGCAACAAAACAAAGAGUGUGGAAAGACUUAAAUCAGUAGACCAAACAACAAAAUGUCAGCAAUUGCAUUGAGACUUCAAACAAGCCCGCUAGCUGUCCAAAAAAUGCUGGACGUUAAGAAGAUGAUAGCUGUCUGUGUUCUUUUCGGACUCCUUGUUCAACCGAUAAGUAGCGCCAGAAUACCCAGGGAUUCUGCAACCAAUUCGCCAUCGCCACUGUACCGAGAAACCAGCCAGAAAAAACUUCAAGUGACGGAUGGUGUGUUCUUUGAACUCUUCUGCGAACGCCCCCACGAAUGCUUCGAGACAUGCACAACAAAUAUACAGGGUGGCGUAAUGCAUAUUGACGAAGAUUGCGAACAGUUUUGGCAGGAAGAAUGGGGCGGGUCUGGAUUUGUACACUACUGUACCUGCCACUCUGAAAACGAAUUGGAGCACAAUUCAACCGAAGAUUCGAAUGAAUACCCAUAAUGAUGAUGAUCAUGAACAUCCCUUCCCGAGAUGAAGAGAAAAAUUCAACUUGGAACACGAUUAAUAAUUGAAAGAAAUUAGACGAAGGCAACUUUCCUUGCAAACAAUAAUAAUGACGAAGUAUUCGUAUUCAAGAGCUAUAUUUGUGUCAAACCGCAUGCCUUUUCUUUCACUCACUUAAUUUAUGCGGCCUCAUUUUCAACAUCAAACUCAGCAAGCAAUUGAAAAAAUAAAAAACAAGGAAAACGAAGAUAUAUUCUUAAAUUAUUGUGAUGUUUUACACAAGAUAAUGUUUUGUCAAAAAUUCGACUUGAUGAUGUGUUUUUGCCAAUUAAGCCGAGUACGGCAAUCAAUAAAUAUCAAUUCAGUGGUACAAAUAUGA